UACAGAGGGUGCGAGCGUUAAUCGGAAUUACUGGGCGUAAAGCGCACGUAGGCGGCUUGGUAUGUCGGGUGUGAAAUCCCCGGGCUCAACCUGGGAACUGCAUCCGAAACUGCCUUGCUAGAGUAUGGGAGAGGGAAGUGGAAUUUCCGGUGUAGCGGUGAAAUGCGUUGAUAUCUUAAGGAACACCCGUGGCGAAAGCGGCUCACUGGAUCUUUUCUGACGCUGAUGCACGAAAGCUAGGGGAGCAAACGGG
rnacentral:rRNA from 1 species